GGAGAGAUGCGAGAGCGGUUGAAUCGGGCGGUCUCGAAAACCGUUGAGCCCGCGAGGGCUCCGAGGGUUCGAAUCCCUCUCUCUCCG
rnacentral:tRNA from 1 species